UACAGAGGGUGCAAGCGUUGCUCGGAAUCAUUGGGCGUAAAGGGUAGGUAGGUGGUCUCAUUUGUCUGGGGUGAAAGCCUCGAGCUUAACUCGAGAAGUGCCCCGGAAACGGUGAGACUGGAGUCUUGGAGAGGGUCGUGGAAUUCCCGGUGUAGCGGUGAAAUGCGUAGAGAUCGGGAGGAACACCAGAGGCGAAGGCGGCGACCUGGACAAGCACUGACACUCAACUACGAAAGCGUGGGGAGCAAACAGG
rnacentral:rRNA from 1 species